GUUAAUGUAGCUUAAAUACUAUAAAGCAAAGCACUGAAAAUGCUUAGAUGGGUAUUCAUACCCCAUAAACA
rnacentral:tRNA from 1 species